rnacentral:rRNA from 1 species
GAUGAACGCUGGCGGCGUGCCUAAUACAUGCAAGUCGAGCGAACGGACGAGAAUCUUGCUUCUCUGAUGUUAGCGGCGGACGGGUGAGUAACACGUGGAUAACCUACCUAUAAGACUGGGAUAACUUCGGGAAACCGGAGCUAACACCGGAUGAUAUUUUGAACCGCAUGGUUCAAAAGUGAAAGACGGUCUUGCUGUCACUUAUAGAUGGAUCCGCGCUGCAUUAGCUAGUUGGUAAGGUAAUGGCUUACCAAGGCAACGAUGCAUAGCCGACCUGAGAGGGUGAUCGGCCACACUGGAACUGAGACACGGUCCAGACUCCUACGGGAGGCAGCAGUAGGGAAUCUUCCGCAAUGGGCGAAAGCCUGACGGAGCAACGCCGCGUGAGUGAUGAAGGUCUUCGGAUCGUAAAACUCUGUUAUUAGGGAAGAACAUAUGUGUAAGUAACUGUGCACAUCUUGACGGUACCUAAUCAGAAAGCCACGGCUAACUACGUG